rnacentral:rRNA from 1 species
AACGAACGCUGGCGGCAGGCCUAACACAUGCAAGUCGAGCGAGGACUUCGGUCCUAGCGGCGGACGGGUGAGUAACGCGUGGGAACGUGCCCUUUGGUACGGAAUAGCCCCGGGAAACUGGGAGUAAUACCGUAUGGUGUCUUCGGACUAAAGAUUUAUCGCCAAAGGAUCGGCCCGCGUUUGGAUUAGGUAGUUGGUGGGGUAAUGGCCUACCAAGCCGACGAUCCAUAGCUGGUUUGAGAGGAUGAUCAGCCACACUGGGACUGAGACACGGCCCAGACUCCUACGGGAGGCAGCAGUGGGGAAUCUUAGACAAUGGGGCAACCUGAUCUAGCCAUGCCGCGUGAGUGAUGAAGGCCCUAGGGUUGUAAAGCUCUUUCAGCUGGGAAGAUAAUGACGGUACCAGCAGAAGAAGCCCAGGCUUAACUCCGUGCCAGCAGCCGCGGUUAAAAG